rnacentral:rRNA from 1 species
GACGUAGGGCGCGAGCGUUGUCCGGAUUUAUUGGGCGUAAAGAGCUCGUAGGCGGUCUGUCGCGUCGGUCGUGAAAACUUGGGGCUUAACCCUGAGCUUGCGGUCGAUACGGGCAUCACUGGAGUUCGGCAGGGGAGACUGGAAUUCCUGGUGUAGCGGUGAAAUGCGCAGAUAUCAGGAGGAACACCGGUGGCGAAGGCGGGUCUCUGGGCCGAUACUGACGCUGAGGAGCGAAAGCGUGGGGAGCGAACAGG